ensembl:miRNA
AUGGACGUACCUGACAGCAGAGCAGCUCGACUCUGCUGUCAGGUACGUCACC